CAGCAGGCGCGAAAACUUUACAAUGCGGGAAACCGUGAUAAGGGGACACCGAGUGCCAGCAUCAUAUGCUGGCUGUCCAGGUGUGUAAAAUACACCUGUUAGCAAGGGCCGGGCAAGACCGGUGCCAGCCGCCGCGGUAACACCGGCGGCCCGAGUGGUGAUCGUGAUUAUUGGGUCUAAAGGGUCCGUAGCCGGUUUGGUCAGUCCUCCGGGAAAUCUGACGGCUCAACCGUUAGGCUUUCGGGGGAUACUGCCAGGCUUGGAACCGGGAGAGGUAAGAGGUACUACAGGGGUAGGAGUGAAAUCUUGUAAUCCCUGUGAGACCACCUGUGGCGAAGGCGUCUUACCAGAACGGGUUCGACGGUGAGGGACGAAAGCUGGGGGCACGAACCGGAUUAGAUACCCGGGUAGUCCCAGCCGUAAACGAUGCUCGCUAGGUGUCAGGCAUGGCGCGACCGUGUCUGGUGCCGCAGGGAAGCCGUGAAGCGAGCCACCUGGGAAGUACGGCCGCAAGGCUGAAACUUAAAGGAAUUGGC
rnacentral:rRNA from 1 species